rnacentral:Y_RNA from 1 species
GGCUGGUCCAAGUGCAGUGGUGUUUACAACUAAUUGAGCACAACCAGUUACAGAUUCCUUUGUUCCUUCUCCACUCCCACUGCUUCACUUGACUAGCCUAAG